ACUUGGUACAAACCUUGUAACUAGCGCCCUUUAUGAGAGUCAGAUAUAAAAAUAAAUCCAUAGGAUGUAUCAGUUUCCUAAACAUAAAUAUAUUCGUAUAACAUUUCAUUACAAUGUUGCCAGUAGUUUCGGCAAAAUCGUAAAAAAUGUGUAUUUUUUUUCAACGCCCUGUAUCUUGAAAACGGAUGACGAUGCAAACAUUUUUUACUUAUCAAACUCCAAUUAUUUUUCAGUUUUUUAUCCAUCUUAGAGACGGUGUUGCCUAUUUUUGAAACACCCUGUAUAGUAGUGUAUAUCCCUACUGUGUGUAUAUUCUUCUAAAACUAGCUUGACCAUUUGAUGAUUUGGCAGCAACGCCUGUCCAUUUAUUUUCAGAGGUAUUCCAAUCAAAUCUAUAAAAAUUUUAUGCGAGCAUUCUUUUGUUGCAAUUCAAAGUACAGUUAUUUUGGUGUAAUGGUGUCACUUGCAGACUGACAUACAGAUAACUUGAUUGAUUCAAAAACCUUUUGGUGUAAACAUAUCAACUGAAAUAUUAGCAAUUUACAUAUGGGACAACUAGAAAAUUUUCGCAGAAAAUUAUCAACUCCUUCCAAAAAAGUAUAUCCAUGUGUAAGACCUUUCUAGUGGUUUUCUUUAUAAAUAAAAUGAGUACUUAAUUAUAGUUAAUCAAGAACUAUUAUACAGUAAAACCUCGAUAUAACGGACUAAUUGGGGGAACGGGAUGUCCGUUAAAGCCGAAAGUCUGUUAUAUAAAAAUCGGUUUAAAAUCAGUAAAAUUUUUUUUGAAAAUAUGUACUUACUGUAUUUAGAUACAGUGUACAAAUCUGUAAGUUAAAAAAGAAACCAAGUUUUGUUUGGUGCUUUUUUACUUUUCUACUUCAUCUAAAAACUUUGUGCAAUAUACCUACUCGUUUGGCUGUCAAAAUUAUUCACCGAUCUAUGGGUUAAAUGAGCGAUGUAUUUUUUGGCAAAAACAUACAAUUAAAGUUGCCAUCUGAAUGUUGAAUAUUUUCAGGAGCGUUGUCUAAAAUCAAUAAAUAUUUCACCUCCUUCAGCGGUAUUCCCAGUUUCUUCUCUUGAAAUUUUCUCACUGCAGGUACAAAGUCUUUAAAAUACCAAUUUUUAAAAAUAUCUGUGGUGAACCAUUUCUUAUUAGAGCUAUAAUAUGAAACGGGCAGAUGAUGCAUCAUAUUUUUUAACAACUCUACGUUUACGAGAUUUGCCAAUAAUUAUAGCAGUUAAUCCAUGCAAUCCAUUGGCGUUAACAUAAAACAGUGUUGAGAUCCUGUCCUUGCUGAUUUUUUUUGCAGAAUUCGACUUUUCGUAUUUUUUGCAUUAAAUUUAUUUUUAAAUUUGAUCGGAUUUUUUGUCAGAAGUCCGUUAAAUAGAGGUCCGUUUUAUCGAGGUUUUACUGUAUUAUGUAAAUGUAAUAGAAUAUUGUAUAUUUUUGUAAAAAUAAAUAAUUUAGUUUAAAA